UAGGGAAUCUUCCACAAUGGACGCAAGUCUGAUGGAGCAACGCCGCGUGAGUGAAGAAGGUUUUCGGACCGUAAAGCUCUGUUGUUGGUGAAGAAGGAUAGAGGUAGUAACUGGCCUUUAUUUGACGGUAAUCAACCAGAAAGUCACGGCUAACUACGUGCCAGCAGCCGCGGUAAUACGUAGGUGGCAAGCGUUGUCCGGAUUUAUUGGGCGUAAAGCGAGCGCAGGCGGAAGAAUAAGUCUGAUGUGAAAGCCCUCGGCUUAACCGAGGAAUUGCAUCGGAAACUGUUUUCUUGAGUGCAGAAGAGGAGAGUAGAACUCCAUGUGUAGCGGUGGAAUGCGUAGAUAUAUGGAAGAAUACCAGUGGCGAAGGCGGCUCUCUGGUCUGCAACUGACGCUGAGGCUCGAAAGCAUGGGUAGCGAACAGGAUUAGAUACCCC
rnacentral:rRNA from 1 species